UACGUAGGGUGCGAGCGUUGUCCGGAAUUAUUGGGCGUAAAGGGCUCGUAGGCGGUUUGUCGCGUCGGGAGUGAAAUCCACUGGCUUAACUGGUGGCUUGCUUUCGAUACGGGCAGACUGGAGGUAUGCAGGGGAGAACGGAAUUCCUGGUGUAGCGGUGAAAUGCGCAGAUAUCAGGAGGAACACCGGUGGCGAAGGCGGUUCUCUGGCAUGUCCUGACGCUGAGGAGCGAAAGUGUGGGGAGCGAACAGG
rnacentral:rRNA from 1 species